rnacentral:rRNA from 1 species
UACGGAGGAUCCAAGCGUUAUCCGGAUUCAUUGGGUUUAAAGGGUGCGUAGGCGGACUGAUAAGUCAGCGGUGAAAUCUCUCGGCUCAACCGAGAAACUGCCGUUGAUACUGUUAGUCUUGAAUGCAGAUGAUGUGGGCGGAAUAUGACAUGUAGUGGUGAAAUGCUUAGAUAUGUCAUAGAACACCGAUUGCGAAGGCAGCUCACAAAACUGUGAUUGACGCUGAUGCACGAAAGCGUGGGGAGCAAACAGG